rnacentral:rRNA from 1 species
AGGACGAACGCUGGCGGCGUGCUUAACACAUGCAAGUCAAGGGGGCCCAGCAAUGGGCAACCGGCGAACGGGUGCGUAACACGUGAGCAACCUACCGAAAUGUGGGGGAUAGCCGGCCUAACGGCCGAGUAAUACCGCAUACGCUCUCGAUGAGGCAUUUUCAUUGAGAGGAAACCUACGGGACAUUUCGAGGGGCUCGCGGCCUAUCAGCUAGUUGGCGAGGUAACGGCUCACCAAGGCAACGACGGGUAGC